ACGGGUGAGUAACGCGUGGGAACGUGCCUUUCGGUUCGGAAUAAUCCAGGGAAACUUGGACUAAUACCGGAUACGCCCUUCGGGGGAAAGAUUUAUCGCCGAAAGAUCGGCCCGCGUCUGAUUAGCUAGUUGGUGAGGUAAAGGCUCACCAAGGCGACGAUCAGUAGCUGGUCUGAGAGGAUGAUCAGCCACAUUGGGACUGAGACACGGCCCAAACUCCUACGGGAGGCAGCAGUGGGGAAUAUUGGACAAUGGGCGAAAGCCUGAUCCAGCCAUGCCGCGUGAGUGAUGAAGGCCUUAGGGUUGUAAAGCUCUUUUGUCCGGGAAGAUAAUGACUGUACCGGAAGAAUAAGCCCCGGCUAACUUCGUGCCAGCAGCCGCGGUAAUACGAAGGGGGCUAGCGUUGCUCGGAAUCACUGGGCGUAAAGGGCGCGUAGGCGGACUUUUAAGUCGGAGGUGAAAGCCCAGGGCUCAACCCUGGAAUUGCCUUCGAUACUGGGAGUCUUGAGUUCGGAAGAGGUUGGUGGAACUGCGAGUGUAGAGGUGAAAUUCGUAGA
rnacentral:rRNA from 2 species